rnacentral:rRNA from 1 species
UACGAAGGGGGCUAGCGUUGUUCGGAAUUACUGGGCGUAAAGCGCACGUAGGCGGGUCGUUAAGUCAGGGGUGAAAUCCCAGAGCUCAACUCUGGAACUGCCUUUGAUACUGGCGACCUAGAGCUCGGAAGAGGUUAGUGGAAUUCCCAGUGUAGAGGUGAAAUUCGUAGAUAUUGGGAAGAACACCAGUGGCGAAGGCGGCUAACUGGUCCGAUACUGACGCUGAGGUGCGAAAGCGUGGGGAGCAAACAGG